CAUCGUAUCUUUCGCACGUGGUUGACUGGUUGGAGCUGGACUGUAGACACUGGAAUCUCUGGAUCACGACCGAGGCGCAGAUGCUGAUUCAUCGCAUCAGAGGAGACACCUCAAAUGUUACUUGUCGCACAAGUUCUCCAUUACGGGUUUUGGCGAGUUAAGCAACCACACCAUCAUUGACACUAGAAUCCAACUUACAACUUCACUGACGUCGUAACCGGAUUCUUUGCCAUUUGUAAUCGGAAUGAUCAGGACAGGUGGAAGCUGUCAACAAGGCUUUAAAAUCCGGUGAAUUUUCAGCGAUAAUCAUCGGGAUUCAUUUAUUAUCCAUUUCAGGCCUACCGAUAUCAUCGUCCACUGCCAGGAAAAGCAUUUCAAUCAAGAACAACGGUUAAAAUCCUUGUGAAAUGUCCUCUUUCUAUGAGACCGAAACCGGAAAGCUGAUGACCCUACAACAGUCCCACUUCUUUCUCUGGUAUCCUUAGGUGAAGUUACGUCGCAUAGUAUAGCCCGUGGUAUAGCUGACUGGUCUACGAAUGUAGGCCAUGCCAAAUUUCAAGAGGAUCACAGAUCUCUGGUCAAGUUAUAUGACAGCUCGACAGUUCAGGACCCUCUGCUCACUUCCGGUGUAGUUUCGGCGCAAAAUAUUAAGAAAUGGUUGAGGUUUUGACACUAGAUGGUUUUGUAUAUUGGCGAACAAAUGAAUGUCAAAAGUUAUGUAGAGUAAAAUGUAAUAAGAGAUGUAUGGUGCAAAACUUCGUCUGUUGAUCGCCCUUAUUAAGUCAUCGUUUGUCUGAUGCCUUUGUCAAUAAUAGUGAAGUUGGAGCGGCAGCAGCAGCAGAUCCUCAAUAGUGGUCUCCAGUUCAACAGCAGCUGUCGAUAAUGGUCCUGGGUUUACGAACUUACUCGCCCGUUUAGUGCGUCGAUUCGCCAAUUAUUUGUUUGGCCUUUUGUAUAGCAUCGAACUCCAACAUCACUGCAAUAAAAUUAGGGCGCUCUUUUGUUGCCGGAGUGACGGAACGGAGUGUCCAAAUAUAUCAUAUGGGGAAAUUGAGUCUGUAUCAAUAGUUCGCCCCCAGUCACUCCAGUUGAACAGAUUGCGUCGCAGCCGGGAACUUCUUUUGGUUAUUCCAUGGAAAUUGAUGACGCAAAUGUGACAUCACAUCAGACACAAUUUGUUUCGUAAAAAACCUUUCUGGGGUGUCUGUUUUUAAGGAUGCCGGACAUUUAUUGGUCUUAAGCUGUGUCUUCAUGAUGAAAAGCUGCACAUAUUUUUGUUUCAAAACCCAGGUACAAGCACCUGGUAGAGAAAUUUCGUACUACUUUAUGGAAUCCCAUUUCUGCUGUCGUCUGCUUCCUUCAUUCAGUCCUUCACUCUUGGCUUUCACGGUUGAUGUUGAUUGUUGAUAGUGGGAGAUGUUCGGUACGUGUUCAUUUCUGAAUGUCUUCAUAAUUUCAAGUAUCUCAUCUUUUACUACAUUUAAAGUUCUAAAUUUUUGAUGCUUUAUUUAUGGAUUUUAAAACAUCUUCCCAGUUGUGGGACUAGAGUAAAUGUUCCAUUAUGGUAGUCUUGGGCUGGUCUUGGGGACACAAUCAAUAGGGAUAGCUGGUGCUAUCCCAAGUGAAACUACAGGAAAACUUCUUGAAUUGGUAAUUUGAUUGAUAUUAUUGGUUGUAACUUGGGAAAUCUUGUGUUUUUUUUUUUUUUUUUAUUUUUUAUUUUGCAUUCAAUUGAUAGUUGAUCGCUACAGAUUUAGUUAAUGACUAGAGAGUAGACCCCUUUGCUUCUCUGUUGCAAUUAUGAGUUAAGACCAUUAUGGAAAUGUGGAUUACAUUUGUUAUUUUCAAGUUGGAAAACUUGACAACUACAAAUUCCUUUGUAAGAUUUAUCAAGCCAGGUGAAGUCUGCACUUCUUUGUUGCAGUCUAAUGUGCGCAUGGAUUCGUUGCAGUCAUCCAGUGAAAGGUGUGAUUAAAUUGAGCUGUUGCAUGCAGUCUUUGGUGCUGAUGCUGUCCUGGAGUGUGGGAGAGUCCCAUGCUUCAAGUCUUCUGGGAUCAGCCAUAUCUGAGUUGACGCUGGAUCAUGCUGCAUUGUGGUUGCCGAAAUGUUGGACAUCUAGUAGAACUGCAAGAAGACUCCUUGAAAUG